AACGAACGCUGGCGGCAUGCCUAACACAUGCAAGUCGAACGAGACCUUCGGGUCUAGCGGCGCACGGGUGAGUAACACGUAGGUAACCUGCCCCCCAGUCUGGAACAACUAGAGGAAACUCUAGCUAAUGCCGGAUGAGACCACGAUCCCUUCGGGGGUUGCGGCCAAAGAUGGCCUCUACUUGUAAGCUAUCGCUGAGGGAUGGGCCUGCGGGCCAUUAGCUUGUUGGUGAGGUAACGGCUCACCAAGGCUGUGAUGGCUAGCUGGUCUGAGAGGAUGACCAGCCACACUGGGACUGAGACACGGCCCAGACUCCUACGGGAGGCAGCAGUGGGGAAUAUUGCGCAAUGGGCGAAAGCCUGACGCAGCGACGCCGCGUGGGUGAUGAAGGCC
rnacentral:rRNA from 1 species